CCAGAUGUGCCAACUGUAUUAGAAAAAGAAAUAGAGGAGAGGAGACAAUAUUAUGAUUUAUAGACUGUGAACCACUGUGAAACCAUUAAAAAGAUGGUAGAGUUCUCUGUGUACUGACUCAUAAGGAUGACUGCUCCACGUCGGGGAGAAAAGUCAGAUAUGAACAACAGGAGACCUCCUGUGAUUUACAUUCUGGAGUGGUGGGAUGAUGGACUGAGCCAGACAGCUCGUCACCUCUGGAGAAGACGAGCGGGGUCAUGGAAGCUGCCCUGGAAAUGAAAGAGGAGGCAGGGUGCUUUGCUGCCUUGGAAGCUCUCCUUUGUUCCCGAGCAUCAGGGGUGCUGUCGCAUGUGGCCUCUGGGAGACCAGGCAGGAAGAGCAGAGCCUGUGCCCAAUAGCUGAAGGGCAGGGCUGAUGAACAGCUCAUCUUAUUGAUUGCUGGCCUCUCUGACCAUCAGCGGACCCAGGCCCACUUCUGGCUGCCUGCCAUUGAGCCACAAAGGCAGCAGCUCCACGGAUUUUCCACGAAUUCCCCCUUCUGGGUCCUUUUCAGUGGCCAGGUGGACUUGGCCUCUUGAACAUCCUGUUUGCUCCAACUUGUCCACCUGAUGCAAGUGCACGUUAGGUGACUGGAAAAUGCCACCUUCAAGUGUAAACAGAGUGGUGCCCGAGAAACCCCAGGACUCCGGAAAGGAACUGGUGUGGGCCCAAACGAAACCAGAAAGUGGACCCAAGGGCCAAGGAAUGCCCAUGAUGAGAGAGCAGGACUGUGGCCCAGACCGGGACUGCUGCUGGUCUAUGCAGCACCUUUGUGUGAAGUAGAAAAAAACGUACCCCUUCUUUUUGGAGACGGAACCUGGAGCGGCUGUUCUUGGCUUGGAAAGUGAAGCCUGGACUGGUUUUGGCUCCUACUUCAGCAGGGGCCAACCUGCAUUACCACAUGCAGAAUGUAAUCAGGACUAGGAGCUUAUGUGAAGCUGGUUGAAGCCAGAACAAUGUUUAAAUCUCUCCCUAUCAAGGAAUUCGGCGAAUAGAUAUACACCUGGCUACAUGGAGAGCAACUUGUUGUGUACAUAAGGCUUGGAAAGAAAAUCAUUUAGAAUUGAAGAGGACAAGAGGCGUGUAAGGAAAGCAGUGUGCUUGGUGACAGGAACUUGGAAUGAGACUGGUGUAAAGAACCUGGCCGUGGUGUCAGACAGAGAAGAUUUGAAUCCCGUUGUUGUCACUUAUAAGCAGUAUGAUUCCCUGGGUUUUCUUCUGCGUCAAAUGGAAGUGAUAAUUGGAUAUGUUUCAUAAGGCGAUUGUGAAGGCUAGAUAGGAUAAUGGAGAAAUUCAGAAAAUGUCCAUUAUCUAUUUUGCUGGGCUUUUCUUCUACCCCUCCUUGUGCUGAAGCCCACACUUUGGUCACAGUGACUCCCUGAAGUGUCCUUCAAAUUGUGCUGCGCUCUGUCUGGAGCAGCCUUCCCUGCUUCUCACCUGGAUGAUACCUUCUCAUCCUCUAGUUCACUGCUCAGAACAUAACCCCCUCUCUGGGGAUUUCCUGGGUGGAUUGGCUGCUCUUCUGGUCUGUUGAGGAGUCUACCACCUUCUCAAGACUGAAGGUUCCUUGAGGACAAACAGUAUCAAGAUUGAUGCUCCACACCCAGUGCCAAAUCCUGCAGCUAGAUCACAGGAAGUGUUAAUUUAGCUAAAUUUGUUGAAUGAAAGACGAAUUAUGAGAUGAAAGUGUAUUUCGGGUGUGAAGUCUUCUCAAACCAUGAUGACCGCGACUUAGCCAUCUUGCUUGAACAUCUGCCUGUUAUCUUUCAUACAAUUCAUUAAGCCCAAUCUACCAGGUUCCAGUUAUUCUGGUCUGCCUUCUAUCCUUGGAACAUGCCAAGAUGGCCUACCUAUGGCACCUUCGGACACCAUUGCCCUGGAACAUGCCAAGGUUGCCUACCUAUGGCACCUUCGCACACCAUUUCCCCUGCUAGGAGUGAUGGCUGAUUCCCCAUCAUUUACUUCUCAGCUCUUGGACGUCUUCCUGUGGCAUUGCUUUUUAUUUUUAUACCCUGUUUUAUUUCUUUAUAGUACAAUAUUUGUCACCACCUGAAUGGAUCUUGUUUAUUGAUUGGGUUACUUGUUUAUAAUCUAUCUCUCCUCAGUUAGAACAUAAGAUCCAUGAAGGUAGGCACCCGUCUAUUUUAUUUACUUUUAGGCACCAUGGGUGUGCUGAUGUACAACCACUGUGGAUGCUUUAUAAAUAUUUGCCCAGUGAACACAUAUUUAUCCAACAGAGCAGUAUCAGCCUUGUCUCUGUCCUCAGAGAGCUUACAAUCAAUCCACUGGUGCCCUUGAAGCCAGGCUGCCAGCCAGAUUAGAGCAAUGGUGUGUUCUGGGACACAAUCUGCAGGGACAAACUCCAGGUUACGAACCAAGAAUUAAUUAUAAUACCAAAGCAAGCCAGUGCAUUUAUGUAAAUUAAUUGAGUUUAACUUAAUUUCCAACUAGACUGUAGUCCUUUUCUUUCCCCUUUGGGGAUUUUCCACUUCAUAAGGUAAAACAGAAAAAUUGUUCAGCUUUCCAUCAAGAAGUUUGUUAGAAACCAGGGCUGAUUCUGCAAAUACUGAUGUCACAGUGGGGAGGGAAAAGAGGACAAUAACUUUUCUGAACCAGUAUCUAGUCCGACUCUGUUGCCUUUUUCCAAAUGUCUUUCUUGGUGAUGCUGAAGAAGCCUACUUGCUUUCAUCAGCUAGAAAGGGUAGCUGCUCAGCCAGAAGGUGGAACCGCUGGCAGCUGUUUCCCAGAAAAGCCAUCCUACAUUCCCUACAUCUAAAACUUCCACUGAAACUUAUAGGACUGAACUUUGAAAAGAGUGAAAUGUCUUUAGAAAUCUUUGCACCAUCUUUAUUCCUGAGUUGCUGCUGGUCUCUGGCACUCCAGUCUCAGAUGCACAGGGAAACCUGCCCUUGUCCUGAAUCCAUGAUGCCUUUUCCAUCAGACUGCAGAUUCCCAUAAAAUGUGCAAAGAAGUUGACUCUUGCUGCAUGGACUCCUCUCAAGAAAGUGAAGGUUGCCCCAGCCCCCUCUCAAGCUGUCACUGAGAACAGUACUGGAGGGGUGGAUUUGCCAAAUGUCUGUCAGAGCCAAUGCUGGGGGCAGUGUCAGCAGGGAGCCUGAGUUACCUUUGGUGACAUGAUCUUUUCUCCUCCCUGUUCCCUUCGACUGUUCUGAACCAAUGACACAGAUCUCAAGUUCCAGGGGACAGAUGCAUCUUUUUGGGAAAACCGUUUUCUGCCCAAAGGAAAUCAGCUUUCCUGUUUUCUGUUGUUAUCAAUAUUGCUGUUUGGGUUCCCUUGAGUGUGGAUUAAAUGGCAGCUGAGAAAUCUUGUUGGGACCACCUCUUCCCAUUGCCUUUCAAAGUGAAGUCUUGACAAGAAAUGAGUUCUUCCCAAAGAUAAGUACAUUGGAGGUUGGGUCUGGUGGUAGCUUCCUAAUGAAUUUGUGGUGCACAGAUCUGUCCUUGAGCUAUUUUCUGUAAUGUUCUCACUGCAGUGUCCCAUGACUGAUCUUAUUUCAGAGAAUUGUAUGAGUUUUGCAGCAAAUUACAAGGAAGGCCUGGUUCCUAAAAUCAGCUGAAGGCCAAUUAAGGUUUCUUGGGGCGCUUUCCUUCAGCUGCAAUGUCAUCAUAAAUGACUCUCCAGUGCAGUGGAAGGCUGACAUUUUGUAAGCUAAUACUAUAUUUUGGGAGUGAUUAAAAUCUCCAUCUCAGUCACCUGCCUGACCAACUGCCAGUGGCCACAAAACAAAAGGAUUACAGUCAAUUCAUAUCCAUUAGGAAAAUGACGUGAAACCCUAUUGGUUUAGGCUCAGUGGGGCUUAAUCUGAUUUCAGGAAGAAAGGAGAGGUGUGCAAUUAAAGGAGAGAGGGAAGGCAGAAAAGAAAAUCAGAUGAAAAAUUUCCCCCAAAACCCAAGGCCUUUUUGGUUUGUUCAUUUCCAUAAGGAUUUAUUAAGUACCUGUUGAGUUCUUCCCACUAUGGUAGACCCUGAAAGGGAGGAAGGAGAAAACACUAGCAAUGCCUGUCCUCAGAACUUGCAGUGUAGUAGGGGGGAAAUGCUACACACUGAGGAGGUGGCCAGAGAAUUAGCAGAUUCAUGUUAGUAGGAAUUUAAAAAUAUUCUUUAGGUGCCUGGCACAGUUGGAAAAGGAAAAGAAGAUAAGUGAGAAGGGAUAGUUGACAUCUACAUGCUCUUACUGUGUGCUUCACAUUAAGUUUUACACAUAUUAACUCACCUUUACAACAGCCCUACAUACCAUUAUUAUUCCCGCUUUACGGAUGAGGAAACUGAGGCCCACAGAAGUGAAGAAACUUGCCUGAGAUCACACAGUCCGCAAGAGGAAGAGCUGGGGUUUGCAUACAGCUAGUCUGGUCCUAGAAUCUGAGGUUUUACCAUUAUUCUAUGUGGCCUCCCAAGGUGAUGGGGUAUUCCUGACCCAUGAGGAUUUUCAUUCUCCAUGGGGAGAUGAGGUCUAGGUGUGGGGAUAAUUAAGCUACAGGUAGAGGGUGUAACAGUGGAGGCAGGGAAUAGAGUGAUUGAUGACUUCAGAAAGGUGGGUGUGCUAACUGAACUCUGGACAUGGAUGUGUAUAUGUUGCGGGAAGCUCUGCACAGAGGGAUAGAGAAGGUUCUAACCCAGGAAAAGAGCACGAGCAGAGGAGACUGAAAGAAUGGCUACAAUUUGCAGUUACUUAUUUGUAGUUGUCUAAGAAGAGAAAUCAUUAAAUCAAAGGGUGCCUUCUUACAAGGACAAGGGUUUAUAGCACUGGGGACAUGAGCAAGGAUGUGGAAUCUGACAGACUAAGUUUAAAGUUCGAUUGUGUCACAUUCUCCUCAAGUGACCUUGAGAGAGUUACCUAGCCUUUAUCUGCAAAUAUAGGAAGAACGGCUAUAGAAGAACUGGGAAAGUCUCUCAUCUUGUAACGGAGCUCAUUUAUUUACUUCUUCAAAAAUAUUCAUUAGGGAACCAAUUACCUGCCAUGUGCUGUGCUAGAUGUUGGGACAAUGAACAAGGCAAACAUGAGUGUUGCUCUCUUAGAGCUUGUAUUCUAACUGGGGAGGCAACACAAUAAACAAGCAGUAAUCUACAACAAGUAAUCUUAGGAUAUGAGAGGGAUUUUGAAGAAAACAUAGGGUUGGGGCCAAGUAGAAUUAAUGGCUUUUACUGUGCCAAGGACAGUGUUUGUCAGGUAGGAGGCAAUCAAAACACAGGAGCUUUCAUUUUACAUUUAUUAAUAGCUCCAUCUUGAAAUUCAACAUGUAAGAGGAAGCCAAGGUAUCAGAUACUCUUUGCUGCCUACCAGGAGGGCAUGUCUCCUUUCACCUUGCUUACAGACCCCUCUUUAAUCCAAGACUCAUCUUAUGCCCACAGGCAAGGUGUUGGGGUUACAGGAAGCUCAGGAUGGAUGUCUACAUCUCCAAGGAACUAUCACUUUCUACCAAAAUGUGAGAAGAAACUCUGGAAUGCAAUGUCAUGAAUGGGAACUGUUGUGUAUUCACUGCUUUCCCCCCAGUGCCCAGGACAGUUCCCAGCACAGAAUAGGGGCUCAACAAAUGUCUGUGGAAUUAUUAAACAGGUCAAUUGAAAUAAACAUGGAUAUAUUUUAGAAUCACACAAGCAUGGCAUAAAAUUUUAAAAAUCCAAACAGAUGGCACUGUUCCUGCUGCAUUUGAAACAUGGGCUUCCUCAGACUCUGCUCUGAAAUUGCAAUGGAGGAGAAACCAGUGGUUUCAAGAAACAGAAAUGCAGGGGAAACUGGGCCAGCCUCAGCUCUACAAGGGUGGUCACCAGCUCCGGGACUGACAAGGGCCACAGUACAAGACGGAGACGAAGUGCCGAGUUCCCAGAGGCUGUUGGUGGUGGCGAGGCCUGUACCAUGAGCGGUGUCUUCUGGAAGGUGAGAUUACCAGAGCCCAGGCACUCUGGGGACUCUUGGAGGGUCACACAGUGAAGAAGUCUGAUAAUCACCAGCCCCCUGGAGGGAAGUGGCUGAUCCACAGAAGCCUGUUCCUCUACUUUGGUCAUUGUUACGGGUCUCACUAUAAAAGCACUCAAGUAAGGAUCAGUCAGGAGGCUCAUGGUCAUUAUGAUUCCACUGUCUGCUGAGACACAAACCAAACCACUCAGAUACAAACAGCCAAAAGGUCAUGACUCUGCUCACCUCUCUGGCCUGAGUCCUGGGCCAGUGGUGACCCCCAACGCGCUGCCCAUGCCAAAGUCUCUUACCACACUGAGUCUACCCAGAGGACCAGGGCUGUAAAUGGACUGUGGGUGAUGCUGGAUGAUUCUUUAGAGGCCAUUGGUGCUACCUCCUCGUUGUACAGAUGGGGAAACUGAAGCCAUGUAGGGGGAGAAGGGAAUUGGACAAAUCACAUGACCCACUGAUGUUAAAUUUGGACUUGAUUCUCCAUCGUAUUCUCCUUCCAACACUAAAUGUAGUUAGAAGCCUGCUUCUGCUCAGAAGAUGGAAAAUGGCCUCUGACAAUAAAAGCUGAUUUUUAACAACCAACCCAAGAAAAAUAGAAUGCUUCAGCAAGUCUUUGGCCUGGAUCCAGAGAGAUCUUAGACUGUGAAGGGAUGGAUGGAUUAACUCUUACCACCCUCCCAUCCUGAGCUCUUUGAGCUUUUGUUUUGUUUUGUUUGCUUGUUUUUUGUUGUCACCUAUGGGGUUUGCAAAUCCACAAAUUUGGUUGUCUCCUGUCAUGUGGUUGUCACAGGAGCCUGGGCCAGCAAGAGGUUCACAUGAUGGUUUAAUCAAUACUGCAAAUAACAAUAAUAUAUGAUAGCACAUGUGCUUACUGUACCAGAUGCCCUUCUAAGUCCUUUGCAUGCAUCAACUCAUUUAAACCUCACAACUCUUAUCAAAUCAGUUUACAAAUGAGAAAAUUGAGGCAUAGGAAGGCUAAGUAACUAGCCCAGGAUCACCUAGUUUGUAAGUGGUACAAGUGAGAUUUGAGGAUAGUAAGUCUGACUCUGGAGCCAUGAUGCCUUACUGUCCUGGUUGCAGUGAGUGGCACUUUAAAACAGGGCUGUACUGUAAUUUUUAAAAAAAUCAUUGAUUACAAAUUCUGUCUCCCUGUCUUCAGGGGCUAGCAGUGGAAUGGACCCUGAAAGGUAGUGCCUUCCCUCCCCCACCUUCUCCCACUGUGCUGUGGGCAUUAAACCCUACCUCCCCUGCCGCCCCCUCCCCUCUCCCCGCCAGGUAGUUGCCUGCUUCGGCACCUUCAGAGGCUCUCCUGCAGAGACACCAGAGGUCACUGAUGGAUUGAGCUUUUAUAUUCCCUUGGGGCAAAAUGUACAGCUUCUUGGUCCUUCAGUGGAAAAUAGCCAUUUGAACUCUCUCAACUCUAUGAAUCUCAUGAACUGGGUCUCCAGAAGCCACUUGCAUGACAGGAAACAAAUAAAAGGGGAGCCCACUCCUCUUCCCCAGAGGAGGGGUUAGAAGGCUGGAAUAAUUCAUCACAGUCCCCACCCCUCCCGCCACACACACACACACACACACACACAUGCACGCGCGUGCACACACACACACACACAGCAGUGCUCCACUCUGCCAAUGGAACAUUCGUGUUGCCUCUGAAUUAUGUGCUUUUGAUUAAUUUCUAAGGAAAAAAGAUCAGCUUUGCCAGACCCUAUGUUGUGUUUUCUCUAAAUCAGGGCAAAUAACAUUACUUCUGCAAAUGUUGCCAUUAGAAUAGAUUUAUAUUUACCUAGAGAGGCCGCUCCUGAGAGAGAUGCAGUGAGAAGUUUAUGCUACAGACAGAAUGAUCUUCUCUGCCGAAAUGCGAUUUGCUGCAGAGGGCUGUUUGGGGUUUGGAUAAAUGAGAAAGAUAAACACGAUGACUGCUGGUGGUUUUCAGUAACACGAUUACCCCUGGGGAAUAGAUCUCUCUCCCUCUUUCUGUGUCUCGCAUCACUCAUCAUCUCUGCAAAAAUUUUCUGAAAUAGAGGAUUGAGCUGGUAAGGCCAUGACAUAUGCUCACGUCCACACCCACAUCUCUGCCCAUGCCCUCGGUCACAUGUGCACACACAUGAACAGGUGUGCCCAGACACCUUCACACAGUGGCUUUUGGACUUCAGCUUGGGCAGAGGAACACUUUUUUUUUGUCACAGUCAUCUUU